CAGUCGCCGCGGUAAUACGAAGGGGGCUAGCGUUGCUCGGAAUGACUGGGCGUAAAGGGCGCGUAGGCGGCGACCAAAGUCAGGCGUGAAAUUCCUGGGCUCAACCUGGGAGCUGCGCUUGAUACUUGGUUGCUUGAGUGGGGAAGAGGGUCGUGGAAUUCCCAGUGUAGAGGUGAAAUUCGUAGACAUUGGGAAGAACACCGGUGGCGAAGGCGGCGACCUGGUCCAUUACUGACGCUGAGGCGCGAAAGCGUGGGGAGCAAACAGGAUUAGAUACCCGCGUAGUCCCUGUCUCUUAUAC
rnacentral:rRNA from 1 species